rnacentral:sRNA from 1 species
GCCAGGUGUGGUGGCACACACCUGUAAUCCCAGUGGCUUGGGAAGCUGAGGCAGGAGGAUCAUGAGUUCAAAGCCAACCUCAGCAAAUUCGAGGUACUAAGCAGCUCAGUGAGACCCCGUCUCUA